UUCGCAAUGCCCGAAAGGGUGACGAUGCGACGCCGCGUGAGCGAAGAAGGCCCUAGGGUUGUAAAGCCCUGUCAGGAGUUAAGAAAUGUAGCCUCGCUAAUAUCGGGUCUAUUUGACAAAGGCUCCAAAGGAAGCCACGGCUAACUCUGUGCCAGCAGCCGCGGUAAUACAGAGGUGGCAAGCGUUGUUCGGAAUUAUUGGGCGUAAAGAGCACGUAGGUGGAUUUGUAAGUCAGACGUGAAAGCCUUCUGUUCAACGGAAGAAUUGCAUCUGAAACUACAAACCUUGAGUGUAGGAGGGGAGAAUGGAGCUUCUGGUGGAGCGGUGAAAUGCGUAGAUAUCAGAAGGAACGCCGGCGACGAAAGCGAUUCUCUGGCCUAUUACUGACACUCAGUGUGCGAAAGCUAGGGGAGCAAACGGGAUUAGAUACCCCGGUAGUCCUAGCCGUAAACGAUGGGCACUAAGUAGAGGGGUUUU
rnacentral:rRNA from 1 species